UAUACCUAAUGUAACAUCACGGACUGAAACCUCUCGCCAACGUCGUGUAUCGUACCGGUAAUUUGAAAUUAUAUGGGAUUUUUAAAAUCCCAUAGGGAAAUGGCAAGUGGCUUUAAUAAGUCCGCCCAAGAAUACCAUACCAAUCGCUUGUGUGAGGACGUCGCUCAACAAUUAAACUCCUUAGGAAAAGGGGGUUUUAAAGACUGGAAAGGAUUGUCAAGUUUAAGUGUUAUAAGAUUAAUUACAUAGAUGAAGAUUAUUUGAAACAUA